UACGUAGGGGGCAAGCGUUGUCCGGAAUCAUUGGGCGUAAAGCGCGUGUAGGCGGCUUGGUAAGUCUGCUCUGAAAGCCCGGGGCUCAACCCCGGGAGGCGGGUGGAUACUGUCAAGCUCGAGUGCGGCAGAGGAGACUGGAAUUCCUGGUGUAGCAGUGAAAUGCGUAGAUGUCAGGAGGAACACCGAUGGCGAAGGCAGGUCUCUGGGCUGACACUGACGCUCAUGCACGAAAGCGUGGGGAGCAAACAGG
rnacentral:rRNA from 1 species